AGUGGAUCUAGGUCAUAGCUAAUAAGUUUGUGCCUAUUGCUGCUUUCUUGUGUACAAGAUGUGCCAGAAUAGAGUGUGCAAGUUAAGGCCUAGUAAUGUCCCAUAGAACGGCUUUAUUUUUAGAAACUUGCCCCUCAUUUGUCUGAGCCAGUGCUGGAUUUACGUACAGUGGUGCCCCGCAAGACGAAUGCCUCGCAAGACGGAAAACUCGCUAGACGAAAGGGUUUUCCGUUUUUUGAGCUGCUUCGCAAGACGAAUUUCCCUAUGGGCUUGCAUCGCAAGACGAAAACGUCUUGCAAGUUUGUUUCCUUUUUCUUAACACGUUAAUACAGUUGCGACUUGACUUCGAGGAGCAACUCAUAGAACGCAGUGUACAUAGUAGCCUUUUUUGAGGUUUUUUAAGACUUUGGUGAUUUUUGAAGCUUUUCCAAAACUUCUUUUGCAGCCAUUUGGUAAGUUAAACUUUUAAAACUUUUUUGGGCGGUUUUGGAUUUUGGGUUGGGGUGUUUGGAAUUCAAGGACUUGGUGUUGGGGAGGGGUUUGCAAGAAUCUGGAAGCUUGUGGUUUUUUUUCUGCAUUUUUAUGAGUUUCUGUGACCAUUGGGCCCCUCUGCUGUUUUUUAAAAACAUUCUGGAUUUGAAUUUCUGUGUGCUGGGUGGCUGGGGGAACAGUUGGGGAGGGGUUUGCAAGAAUCUGGAAGCUUGUGUGUUUUUUUCUGCAUUUUUAUGAUUUUCUGUGACCAUUGGGCCACUCUGCUGUUUUUAAAAAACAUUUCUGGGUUUGAAUUUUGAAAUGCUCUUUACAGUAUGUGUGACUUUAAAGAGCACUUAAUAAACUCUUGUUGUACCAAAUUUGGCUCUGUUUGGACUUUUUUUGACCAUAGGAACGCAUUAAUUGAUUUUCAAUGCAUUCCUAUGGGAUUUCGUGCUUCGCAAGACGAAAAAUUCGCUAGGCAAAAAAACUCACGGAACGAAUUAAUUUCGUCUUGCGAGGCACCACUGUAUAAGCUAAACAAGCUAUAGCUUAGGGCCCCACUCUCUUGAGGCCCCCCAAAAAAAUUAAAGGGGGGAAAAACCUGGAUGUACAUUUCCAAAACAUAAGAUAAAAAACUAAUGAAAUAAAACCUACAUGCAGCAACAGUGUUUUGUGUUGUGUAGGCUCCUAUGAUGUAAGUAAUGCCACCUGCUAGCCUGCUCCCUAAAAUAUCACUGGUUUGCUCAUUUCUAUAUACAGGGUGCCUACAUUCUGCAUGGACUGGUUGUAUGGCAACAUGUGCAAAUGGCUUUAGAUACCUGUUAGGUCCAUAAAUUACCAUAUAGCAUAUAUUCAACUCAAAAAACAGUGACAAUUUGUUGUUGACAAAGGACAGCUGGACAUAUAAAGGGCCCCAUUACCUUCAGUAGCUUAGGGCCUCAUCCAACCUAAAUCUGGCCCUGGUCUGAGCUGCAGAUAAGUUUUCUAGUAGUCUGAUACAUGAGGUUGAGCAAGACCAACUUUUAGUUUCAGACUUGUGCAAAGGAGUGGGGAGUAUUUGCUCUGCCGCAAACUUGCUCUCAGCUUGGGUGAUCCGUAGGGUGGCUUCUGUAGAUGGUUGCUGUACCUGCAGUUCAGCAUGUUGUUCUGUUUAACAUACUUUUUCACUUUGUACUUUGUCUGUAUGGAAAAAUCCAAUGAACCUCUAUUAAAACACUUUGUGAAUCCUAUGAUUUUUGUGUGUGUAGCUGUGAUGUUUAGCUUUUUUGUUAGUUGUUUUGUUAAUAGUGUAACAUAGAUGGUAAUUGCUUUAUUUCUGAUCUGUGAUUGUUUUCUGAUGGUUUGUUAAGUCUUCUAUAUGAUUUAUGCUGUAAUCGUGAUGUUCCGUUAUGUUAAUUUAACCUUUCUUUUUGUAAGCCGCUUUGGGAUUUAUUUGAAUAAAAAGCAGCAUAGAAAUAGAAAAGGGGAAAAAACCAAAACCCCAAAACAUGCAAUUCGUUGGCUAGUCUCACCCAAGACUAGCAACAAGUUUUGGACACAUUUUUACUUUAUGUGUUUUACACUACCUUACGACAAAGGAACCAAAACCAUUUACAGUACUAAAGAAGGGGAGACACAGAAAAAAUACUGUGCACACACAAAAAGAAAAUUAAAACUGCAGUUAAGCAUUCAGCAUCACUAUCAUGCUAAUUAUAGAAAUGGCUAAAAUAAGGUGUGGAAACUCCCUAGGCAGUCUGAAAAGAAGGGGAAGAAAUCCUGUGUGUGAUAUAAAUAAAUAAAACUGACACCCUCUUUAGUGGGGUUGCUGUUCAUACCCAACCAUAUUCAAAAUGGUAGCCACCAAGCUGUUCAGUUCUACCCUUUUUCAUUAGUGAAAUUCAUGCUGCAAAGUAAAGGCUAGGUACAAUUUUAGGCUGGUGGGUGUGGCAGAAUCCAGGCCAUUCAUAGGCCUUACAUAAAAUAAGAUUUGGCUUAGUGAUCCUGUGAUGGCAGCCAACCUGGUGAAUUUUGAGCUAACAAAGCUGGUGAAGCCAUGAAACAAUACAUUCAUUAUUUUGUACCUUUAUUCAUUGCAUAAACUGGUCCUUCCAGAACCAUUUUCCACAAGUACUGCUAAGAAUAUUGUUUACUUUGGAAUUCCAUGCCCUCAGUUUCAUGCAUCUAUUGACUUCUACAGGUAUAGGAAGCAGCUACAAUUAAGAAUUUGAUAACUGUGAUUAACGUAACACUGUGGGUGAUAGCCAACUACGUUUUACUUAGAACAUGACUAAAUUAGGCCCAUUAAUUUCAUUGAGUCUACUCUGAGUACAACUUAGAUGAGUACCACCCUGUUCAUCACAAUUACAGAAAUAGGAUUGAAUCCAAACUUUGUCAUGCUUUGAGUGAAACCAAUGGGACUUAGUCACAACUUACUCAAGUCAUAUGGAUGAGACCUUUGGGUAUAGGGUGGUAUAGAAAUUAAAUAAAUUUAAAGAAGUCUACUCAAGGUAUGACAGGAAGCUUGGCUUCAACUCAGGAAUUGACAGGAUCAGUGUGGAAAUUGCUGUUGUUGUACCCAAUGAUAUUUUUCCUAACAGAAAAUACCACCAUUUGCCUAUUUUUUCCAUUUCUUUGUCAGCAUAUUUCCCAUCUCUCUUCAGCCCAUUAAUUAGAAAGUUGCAGAAAAAGUUUGACUGUCUCAGGUUGUGCUAAACAUGCUCACUUCCCCACAGUUAAAAUUCAUAUACAAACUGUUCACCUGACCCUAAAAGACUGAAUGUAUGUGCAGCAGGCACAGCUGUGCUUGCCUGAUAAAUAACCAGUAGCAGUAUCUGGUUGAAGAAUCACAUUUGCGACAUCCAAUUCUGCCAGAUGAAAAGAAGCCUAAAACCAGCAUCUUGAGGGAGAAUGUGUGCUAAUCAUGGAUAGAAGACCAUUCCUAAAGAACCACUGGUGGUUUUUUUCUGCGUGCAUGCACUGCACUGUCAUCCUUGGCUGCGGUUGCAGCUUGUGCAAGAAUUCAGACAUCGCAGCUUAAUCUAAUAUGUCUGAAUUUUCUGUUACCAUAUUGCUGCAACAAAUUAGGCUACAUUGUAUUGUAAUUUUAGAGCCUUUAUGAACAAAACAUCCUGAAAAGAAUAUGUACAGUACAGUGGAACCUCUACUUACCACCAUAAUCCGUUCCUGCGGCCCAUCCUUUAGGUGAAACGGGUGCUGGUAGAAGAGCCAUUGUGCGCAUGUGCAGAUGGUGGCAGCCGCUUCUGUGCAUGUGCAGACGAUGGCAGCCACUUCUGCGCAUGUGCAAACGGCAGAUGCCACUUCUGCACGUGCGUGAAUUGUGGCAAACCCAGUAUUUACUUCCAGGUUUGCCGCAGUCGCGACUUGGAUCGGGCCCAAGUAGAGGUGGUCAUAAGUAGAGGUUCUACUGUACAACAAAGAGCAUAGCUUAGUGGUAGAGUAUUUGCUUUGCAUACAAAAUGUCCCAGGUUCAAACUAUGGCAUCUCUGGGUGGGGCUGGGAAGGAUUCCUUGUCCAAAACUCUGGGGAGCCGCUGCCUCUUGUUGUGAAAAACAAUGAGCUAGAUCGACCAAUGGUCUGACUUGGUGUAAGGUUUCUAAAGGAAAUAAUCUCUCUCUUUUUUCUCCUUUUCAUUUGGUUUUCUAGGUUCCUAUUUCCUUUUGGCGUAUGUUGGUCUUUUGUCAGGGACUGGGCAGAGGAGGAAUGGUGGAGACUGCCUCCCCAGCCUGACCCUUCCAGAAAAGAACAAAACAGUUCAGAAUUACAACAGUGGUUUGAGGGAGGUCACAGCUCAGAGGCAGAUGAGGGGGAAAGCUGGGAAAUAAAGGGAGAGGAGGAGGAGGAGGAAGCACCAGGAGGGUGACAGCUGAUGGACACAGUGUCUUUAGAAAGCAUUGCAGACACACAGCCCUUCCAGAACCCGGCAAGCCUUGAAAGUAGUAGAGCAAAGGGCUCAGAAGCAAAGGGCCCUCAGCGCCAGCCGUAGAAGAGAUGAUGAAUGAGGAAGUGGGAGAAAAAGGGGGUGGAGAGUCACUCAGGACAACGCCAUUAUCCCAAUAGGUUGUGUUCCAAGCCUUUCUUUGUAAAUAUUGAAUAAAGAGCAAAUGGUAAGAACUUUUCCUUGUCUUGUAUGUUUCUGGCAACCGGCCGUGGGAGUUUCUUACUGCCACCUGACACCUUUUUGCCUUUUUUCAUAGUUGAGCUCAAGCUAUGACACAAUGUCUGCUGAUUGUGCCCCAUUCUCUCUUUCUCAGAGAUUGACCAUGUUGAACAUGCCAAGCUCUUUCCUUGGAGCUUGAAGAGUAACAAUAAUCCCUCUCUUAUUUUUCUUUGUUGUAAGAUGUGCAUAAAGCAGGGCUGCCAACUUGACUACACAAACACCAUUUGAAGGACAAUGGCCAUCAACUCAAAUAUUUUACUGUAGGUGCCAAGGGACCUUGGUCCUUAGGAGCUGGCUCCUGUGACAUAAAGCUUUAGCUAUUGGAUUUCAUUUAGAAUAACUGUUGACUUUUUAAAAAGCAAAAAGCCAUUGUUAACAUAAAAAGCAGUGUGGUGAAGUUUGUUUUGUGGUUAGGGCAGUGGGUUGUUGUAAGGUCAGGAAUGCACACUGCAGGAAAUUUCUUUCCCUCUUAAAUUCUAGUCUCCAAGGAAAAGGUGAAAAAUCCAGUAAAGUUUUCAGCAGAUGAGGGAAUAGGGGUCGCAGUCAAUCUGGAUUACUGGAUUUCCAGAUGGAAAAGUCAUUAAAUGUGUUUUGUUUUGGGGGUUUUUGAGCCAGGAAUACCAUGAAGCUUAAAAGGGGGAACCAAAAUGGUCAAGUAUUGGGAGUGAAAAAGAAAAAGCAUUUUCAGCUCUCUUGCAGAAUGCUGGAGAGGUGUGAUUUAUAAAAUUAUGAACCAGUACAGUGAAAAUGAACAAAGGUAUGUUUUUUCCCUCUCAAGUUAGUAGAAUCACUUUAUGAAAUCAGUAGGUGUAGGACAGACAAAAGAAAGUAAUUCUUCAUACAAUGUAUAACCAAAUGGUGGAAUUUAUUGCUUCAAUAUGCACUAAUGAUCACUGCAUAUUGCUGUCAAUCUACUCCAAAACUCUGGAAGACGCCCUCCCCCAGCAGUUAUAUGUAGAUGCAUGGACAUAGCCAGGACUUUUGUUAGGGGGGGCAGGCCUUUGGGGGGGCAGAACCUUAAUUUGCUAUGUAUUUUUAUUGAUUUUUAUUGAUUGGGGGAUAGCUUCCCGUUCCUGCCCAUCCUGGCUACGUUCAUGUGUAGAUGUUAAACAAGGGAUAAAAUUGGAUCUUGAGGAAUCCAGCAUUGAAGGCUUCACAGGCCCGAAAAUCCCUCCUCAAACAUCAUCCUCUGAAAUGACCAUCCAAGAAGGACUGGAACUCACCCCACCUCGGACAACUGCUCCAGAAGGAUACCAUGGUCAAUGGAACAGAAAGCCUCUGAGAGGCUGAGGAGAAUUGGCAAGGACUCGUUUCCCCUCUCUAUCUCCCAACAAAGGUUAUCAAAGCAGUUUCUGUGUCAUAACUGGACCUAAACCCUAACUGAAAUUGAUCUAGACACAUUCACAUUCAUAGAGGAAGAGUCUGUCAAUGCCUACUCAUAUAAAUAGCUAUAUGGAACCUCCAGAUUCAGAGGCAAUUUGCCACUGAAUCCAUUGCAAUGAUAGGUACUGUCUUGAAUGUGGCUCCUAUUGGACAGUGUCUAUAACAUCCUUACUCCUCAGUACUUAAAGCAAUCUCUGCCUGCAAUGUUUACAGGUUUGUUUUAAAAAAUUUGAUUAAUAAUUUUUAGGGGCUGAAUACUCCUUUGCUUUAUCAGACUAAAAUCUUAAAUCUAUUCAGAGAUAAGCCCUAUUGACCUACUGCCCUUAGGUAGGUAUAGUGAAGAAAUUCAGAUUGGUUCUCAUUUUAAUGCAAACCUACCAAAUUCACACUCCCCUCCAUUUGUAAACAAAUAUUCUUUGAAAUAUGCAUGUCUCCGAAUUUUGUGAUGGGGUUCUUCAACCAAAAAAAUUAAAUUAUAUUAUGGGGAAUUCCUUUGCAAAAACGUGUAUAUUAGGAGAAAUAGACAUUAAAAUGGUGAUGAAUUUUCAUGAGGACUUUGGAAAAAAAAUUGCAAAAGAAUGCAGAAAUGUGGUGAAUGAACCUACACUUGGAAAGAUGAGAAAAUUGACAGGUUCAUCAAUCCCUACUUCCAGAUAUGAAUAACAUACAGAAUUAUUGCCUUUCUCACAGUUAGGAGUAAUGAACACAAGCAAGAAGAUUCCUUUUCUGUGUUUGUGAACCUUUCGUUGCAAAUAUUUUUUUGAAAGUGUCUCACUUUUCAGUACUGAAAUGCUUUAAUUUUACUUAAAAGUUUCAGCAGCCAGGCUUCCAUCCUUCCAUUUUGGCUAUUUUGAGAAUAUGGCUGGGAAUCUGCAGAGAAGAGUUUGCAACCUCACACUUGCUUUGAUAUGAAAUCGACUCCAAAAAAUGUUUCAUUGACGUUUUAGCACAGCAUCUCACUCUUAAGACACAUUUGUCAUUCUCAAAUGUGUCUUAUUCCAUUCUCUUGCGAAUUUGUGAGAAAUUGCUUCCUCUGCAGAAGUGGAUUCCGCCCAACACAGAAACACCUUUCUUUGGGAGGUGUAGCAGAGAUCUCCCCAGUAAAUGCUUGCCAGGCUUGCCAAACCAGCUACACAGAUUUCAGAAAAGAGCCCACCCAAGGUAAAUAGGGAUGUGGUCAAGAAACCUCUUUAUGUGAACCUCCAAGGAACCAAGGGGGGCGUUAAAGUGGUAUGUAGCUUGUAGACAAACUAGGUGUGAUGUGGCUGAUCUGUAAACAGAUACUACACCUUAGAAGAAGGAAAAAACACACCAAAAUUGCAUAAAGGGGGGAUUGGCUUGAGACCAUGUUGCUAGAAGAAGAGGGUUAACUAUUUCCAUAUGUGCCAGUUUCCUGAUUGAAGUUGCUGCCCUUCCCCAAUGUGGCUAUUUACCCUGCAGGAGAAAACAUAGAAAUACCCUAAACAGAGCAAAUAGCAGAUUGUUUUAAUUGGUAAAGCCAUGCAGGCAGAAAAGUGUUACAGAAUCCUUCCCCCAUCACUGUGGGCCUGAUUUGAUGGACUUCGCAGAUACUACUUUUUUCUUUUAACUAACCUCGGAAUAUCUGUGAUCAUUUGAGUCACAUCUAGAGAUCUGCGAUUCCUAGUAGGAUGUGAACAUUUUGAAUUUGGCCUUUAGGGCAAAUAAGUAUAUAGAUUAUUAUUUCUGUGUCUCAACACCAGUGGCUUCUUCCUUACCUCCCAUCAUGGCACUAGCCCAUUUGGUCUAUCUUCCUAUCUACCCCAUGUUCCACUCAAAUCAGUGGACUCAACAAAUUGACGAGACUGGUCAAGCUCCUAAGCAGUUUUGGGUCUGGUCUAUUUUAUUCCUAAGGAAAAUGUGCAUGUUUCUUCCUCCUUAAAGGUGGUCACUUUUCUUCAAAUCAUCCACUCGGUGAAACAAAAUGUUCUAGGGCUAAAUUUUAGUUGGCCACUCUCACAAAUUCACUGCACCAGGAACUCACAGGGCUUGAGUUUCUGCAAGUUCUUUGAUUCCCAGAGUUCUGCAAGAGGUCAUAAAAAGGUCUGCAUGUGAAAUUCAUGGGUUCUGAGUGCCGUAUACAGAUCAAUUACUGUGGAGAUCCAUAUAUUUAGGUGUCAUUCCUAUGUUUCCACAUAGAGGUAAUAUAAGAAAUGGUUCCCUUGUACUCUGUUGCCAAUCUGGUUGAUUCCAAAUGGCAGCUCAUAUCGUACUACUGGUUGGGCAUCUGUGUUCCAAACUGGACAUCCACACACUUUUUUUGGAAGGUGGUAAUUAGGAUCAUAGUGUGGCUCUGCUGUGUAGGCAUGUUCUGUGCAUAUUCUGUCUCUAUUAUCAUAGGCUUGGGUGUUACUAGGCAGUGAAGAAACCAUCACACAUAGGGGACAUGGGGAUUGCACACACUACAUAUACCAAAGGAGUCUGUCAACAUGUGUCUCGCUCACUCCACCUUUCAUCCUGUCAUGAUAUCGUUCCAUUCUGGGUAACUUCCUAUUCCCAUUUGACAACAUGGCAGAGAAUGAUGGCUAAAGAAUCUCCAUGUGUAAGAUGCUAUUUGUGUGGCAAGGAUCACAAUGUAAACUCAGGAUAAUUUGUAUCAGGCUUUCCUCAAGGCAGAGCUUUCCAAACUUUUCACGUUAGUGACACACUUUUUACACAUGCAUCAUUUCGCGACACAGUAAUUCAGUUUUAAGAGCAAACCAGAGGUUAAAACUAUCCCCUUUCCUGCCCCGGGAGGAGUGCAGGCAGCUUUUGUGCGACACAACUACACACUGCAGCUGACACACUAAUGUGCUGUGACACACAGUUUGGAAAGCUCUGCCUCAAAGUGAACCACAUGUUAAAGUUGCAUCAUUGUUUGUCCCGGUGAAUUUACCUAAUCGUACGUGUGAGGUGCUGAUCCAGGAUUAAACAACACCUACAUCCUUCCACUGUAUGUCUAGUUUCAUGACACUGAGCUGCCUGUUUCUUUUCCUUCUGCCUGUAUCUUAAUGUACAUACACACAACCUAAUCCCAGGAACAUUUACUCAUAGAUUAUUGACUCCAAUAUACCAUUUACUAGGAUUAAGACAAUCCAUAAUGGUUGUAUCAGAGGAUGCAGCAGCUAAUUUACGGUAAUCUGAUCAUAAAACUUUAUUCUCAUGAGCAUUCUGAAUGGGACUCUCUUAGCAUCUUGUUUAUGUUUCAUUUGUUAAGUUUCAUAAGCAAAUUGCACCUAAUGACUACCUCCACCCUACGAUUGUCUUCCUUGUCAUCAUUUAUAUUGUUGCACACCACCCCAGUCUCCAAGAGGUGUGAAAUUCCAGGGGUUCCAGACGCUCACCCAAGGCUCAUGUUUCCUUUGGAAUGAGGCAUGGCAUAGACCAUGGUGUCUUCAGGAUAUAUGGUUUAUUGACACAGAUAUACAACCUGAGCCUACAAUGGAGGGGUUCACAGCAUUAACACCCCCAAAGGGUCCUGUUUCUCCUGUAGCCUCAGCUUGGAUUCAAACAGAAAUCAAACAUUAUGGUCUCUGGAUUUCAGCCUGCAGCUUUUCUUCUAGGCCAAAUUACAUACAAUUUCAACUCUAAAACUCUGGCUUGGUCCUCCUAACUAUGUAAAAGCUGGAGGAGGGUCCCCAUCCAUUUGCUGUCUGACACAGAGUACUCUCCCCUGUUUCCCUUAAUGUCCCAUCCCCCAUCCCCCAGCAAUCACCUCAGGAGCACUUUUUUUUUUUAGCUUUUAAGUCCUUGGGCAAUAACAAUGCAACACACUCCCACACAAUGGUGAAUUCUGAGCUGCUAAGAACAUAAGAAGAACCCUACUUGAUCUGGCCAGGUGACACUUGCAUUGCAAUCCCCUUUGCAUGUCUGUUCAGAAUUAAGUCCCAUGGAGUUUAAAAGGAUUCACUCCCACCUUUCCUCAGCACAGCUCUGGCUGACAGCCAUAAAAUGAAAACAACUAAGGGAUGACAAAUAGGAACAAAGCAUUCAAUAGGGCUACAGCCCUAGGGAGUUCCAAUAUCCGGUUCGUAACAGCAGCCAACCAGAUGUUUCUGAGAAGCCCAACAGCUGGUAGUCAGAGGCUAAUCCCGUGUAAUCCUAAAGUGUGUGUCUGUAGGUGCUAUGCCUGUCAGGUUAGAAGAUGUGGACAGAACCCCUUUGUUACCCUGCCCAUGUUUAUCCAUUCUUUAAAUUCCCCCUCCCACUGAUCAUCACCAUUAUGAACCUGCAGAGUUCAACCCCAUCCAAAAGAGGACAAAUGCCAUCUCCAAAUACCACCCCUCCUUGAGUUUUGAUUUAAAUGCUUAUUAUCACACUGAUCAUCCAAUCCCUUAUUGCCUCCAAGCAUCUGUUCAGAUCAAUCAGAGCCACACCUGGAUUAGGUUUUAAAAAAAUCAGGCUUGUAUCGCACCCCAGUCCUCAAAUGACUUCAUUUCACGCAAUUGAUGACACCUCAAGUCAAAUCCUCAGAUGACCUUAAUUCAUGCAACAGCUAAAGAGAAGGUGUGAAAUAGCGCAGGGACAAAAUGCCACGGGCCAGAAAAGAGUCCCACAGCAUCGCCUUCUGGAAUUGUCCCCCUAGCUAGUGUAAAAUGCUGUGACUAGACUGGUGAUGGGCUCAACUACAGUGGUACCUCAGGUUAAGAACUUAAUUUGUUCCACAGGUCAGUUCUAAACCUGAAACGGUUCUUAAUCUGAGACACACUUUCGCUAAUGGGGCCUCCUGCUGCCGCUGGCGCGUGAUUUCCGUUCGCAUCCUGGGGCAAAGUUCUUAACCUGGAGCAACCACUUCCUGGUUAGUGGAGUUUGUAACCUGAAGCGUGUGUAACCCGAAGUGUGUGUAACCCAAGGAACCACUGUGCUGCCAACAUAAGACACUUGCUUUUUCUUCCACAGGAAGAAGGGCUGGGAUAAGCAGUUCAAAGGCGAUUGUAGCAUCCUGCGUGAAAAUGGCCCAUCAUGGUAUCCAACCCAGAAAUUAGCAGUCCAGGUGACCAACUCACAUGGUUUUUGUGAGGGUACAUAUAAUAAUAAUAAUAAUAAUAAUAAUAAUAAUAAUAGAAUUGUAGAGAUGGAAGGAAUCACAAGGGUCAUCUAGUCCAACUCCCUGCAAUGCAUAAAUCUUUUGUCCAACAUGGGGCUUGAACUCACAACCCUGAGAUUUAGGGUCUCGUGCUCUACUGACUGAGCUAUCUGAGCAGAUGUAAGUGGAUAAGCACUUGGUAAAUGAAAAUCGACCCAAACAAUAGUGGAAGCUAGCAAAUUUUAUUCGUUUGCUACACUGUUCUUAAAACAAAGUGAUGGAGGUGGGCCACUGAUCCAGCAUUUCUUUAAAGUUACAUAUUGUGUAUAUUUAUUUAUUAAAAUAAUGUAUAUAUACAACUUUUCAGGAAAUUGAAAAGUUUGACAUUAGAGAUGGUGCGAGCUAAUCCUUCAUCAGGUGAUUUAAUAAUUACAAAUACACUCGGAGCAAAGAUUUAGUUGCCCCUUCACCCACCCUUACAGAGGUUAUAUGCCAAAUUCUUCUAAAAUAUAACCCAGAUCUAUUACCUGCAAGCACUUCAAUAGGUGGCCAAUCGAGGACCCAUUGUAAAAUUCCCUGGCUGAUUUAUGGCUGUCUGAGGCCCAGGACAAUAAAUCAGGACAUAUAUCAGAAGGAGACAACUAAAGUGGGGGGGGAGGCAUGCUGUUUGUCAACAGAAGUGAUGCAUGAUAUAACAUGGGAAGGGAGUUGUUUUGCUUUGAUAUUGCUUCCUCCCGCCACCCACUGGUCCAAAGCAUUCAAAGAAAACUUCAUAACUUGCCUAGACAACUCGAUGUGGACUUGAUAGCAACAUGCAGCCAACAUGCAGUGAGUUUCUUAAUCAUGCCUCUUUUCUGACAGGCAGCAGGAAGAUAAGGACAGAGACUGCAAGACCACAUUGGCCGUUAUCUGAUGCAAAUGAGGCAGCCAGGAAGGCCAUCAAAGCAAUGGAUGAAAGAUUUACGUCUUUUACUGGCCAUCUGCAAAGCAAAACAAAACAAAAAUAGCUGAAACACCAGUUUUCUGCUUUAUCGGCUCUGUGAAUAACCAUAUAAAUUUCUACGAUAUUUCUUUAGGCUUGCUGAAGGGGAAAAAUUCAUCCCUCAGGACUGAGCCAGCAGCCGUAGCAGCAUAUGGUCUGUUGGAAUCAGUCGCUGCGUGGAUUUUGUGUGUGUUUGCUCUUUGAGCGGGGUGUGCAGAGGGAGAGAGAGAGAGGGAGAGAGAGAGGUGACUUUGUGAGUAAUUUGGGAAACAAGAGGACUUUAUAAAAGAUGAAGUUUGCUGAGUUAGCUGUUGGACAUCCAAUAACUCCUAGAUAGGAAAGUUGAACUCCAUUUCAUGAUUGUGAAGUGUGAAGGAUGCCAAAUUCAUUGGCAAUCUCCCUCAGGCUGGCCUGCUUGGCCUUGGAGACCAGAGGUCUUCGAGCUAACAGCUUUUUUCCAGAAGGAAAAAUGGAAAGUAUGAACUCUGUCAUACAAACUUACAAGUUGUACUGCAUAUGGGAGGCCCUCUUCUGGGUUCCAUCUCCAAAGAAGGUUUGGAUAUGGGAAAGAGCCUCUUUCAUUGUGGCCUCCCCUGUCUGUACAACACUCUCCCCAAUGAAGCCUGGCUAGUGCCACAUUAAAACUUUUUUUUUCUGCUUACAGGGGCUGGUUUUGACCUGUGAAGCCUUAAAUGGCUAAGAACUACAAUGCCUCAAGCACCACCUCUCUCCAGAUGAACCUACCCAGAUCCUCCACGAGUGGUCCGGAGGGUGGCAACACGAGACCGGCCCUUUUCAGCAGUGGCUCCCUGAUUGUGGAAUGCUAUCCCCAGGGAGGUUCAAAAGUCUUAUACACUUUUAAGUGCCAGGUGAAAAUGUUCCUCUUCAUCCAGGCAUUUGGCCGAUUA